UUAAAUGAGGCCAUUUACCCAUAGAGGGUGCCAGGCCCGUAUAACGUUAAUGAUUACUAGAAGAUAUUUCCAAAGAGUCGUGUUGCUUGAUAGUGCAGCACUAAGUGGGUGGUAAACUCCAUCUAAAACUAAAUAUAACCAUGAGACCGAUAGCAAACAAGUACCGUGAGGGAAAGUUGAAAAGAACUCUGAAUAGAGAGUUAAAUAGUACGUGAAACUGCUUAGAGGUUAAGCCCGAUGAACCUGAAUAUCCAUUAUGGAAAAUUCAUCAUUAUAAUUGUAAUAUUGUAAUAAUAUUAUAAGAAUAGUGUGCAUUUUUUCCAUAUAAGGACAUUGUAAUCUAUUAACAUAUAUAAAUAUUUAUCAAAAGAUCAUUUGCUUAAGUUUAAUCUAGUUAUGGUUCGCCAUAAAAUAGUUUAAAUGCUUAUGAUUUGAUAAAGUGUUGAUAGAUUUAUUAUAUAUAGUGUUAAAAUUAUCUUUGAUAAUUUUACAAUAGUAUAUCAAUUUAUAUUUUUAUAUUUAUUGUAUGCACUUAUAUGAUUAACAAUGCGAAAGAUUCAGGAUACCUUCGGGACCCGUCUUGAAACACGGACCAAGGAGUCUAACAUAUGUGCAAGUAAUUGGGAAUGAAAAAACCUAAUUGCGAAAUAAACAUAAAUUUUUAAAUGGGAUUAAUUUUUAUAAACAUUUGAUUAUAUUAAUUC
rnacentral:rRNA from 1 species